rnacentral:rRNA from 1 species
UGGCGGCACGGGUACUUGUACCUGGUGGCGAGUGGCGAACGGGUGAGUAAUACAUCGGAACGUACCUUAUCGUGGGGGAUAACGCAGCGAAAGCUGUGCUAAUACCGCAUACGCCCUGAGGGGGAAAGCGGGGGAUCGAAAGACCUCGCGCGAUUAGAGCGGCCGAUGCUUGAUUAGCUUGUUGGUGGGGUAAAAGCCCACCAAGGCGACGAUCAAUAGCUGGUCUGAGAGGACGAUCAGCCACACUGGGACUGAGACACGGCCCAAACUCCUACGGGAGGCAGCAGUGGGGAAUUUUGGACAAUGGGGGCAACCCUGAUCCAGCAAUGCCGCGUGAGUGAAGAAGGCCUUCGGGUUGUAAAGCUCUUUUGUCAGGGAAGAAACACCGGCUCUAACACAGUCCGGGAAUGACGGUACCUGAAGAAUAAGCACCGGCUAAC